rfam:Halogeometricum borinquense DSM 11551, complete genome.
UGAUGGACUAGGUCGGGCAGCUAGGCCCUGCCCUUUACCCGCAACUUCGGCCUUUAGCGGGGACCGAACCCGGGUGCGUCCGGUCAGACCGGUACGGGCCCCGGGAGCCAACGCAGAAGCCUCGUCCGUCGGGGACAGCGGUCCGUGGAAGUCGUCCGCAGGGUCGGCUGAACCGCGGUUCGUCGGUGACACUCCGCCAGGCGCGGAAGCGAGCAGCGGAUCACCGGACGUAUGUCGCUCGAGGGAUUGCGGGGUGGAGGAGGCAACCGGGAUUCCCCGCACCGGAACGCCGGGCAACCCCGUCGUCCACCA